GGGAACCUCGAGUGCCAGGUUACAAAUCUGGCUGUCGUGAUGCCUAAAAAGCAUUGCAUAGCAAGGGCCGGGCAAGACCGGUGCCAGCCGCCGCGGUAACACCGGCGGCUCGAGUGGUAACCGUUAUUAUUGGGUCUAAAGGGUCUGUAGCCGGCCGGGUAAGUCUCUUGGGAAAUCCGGCAGCUUAACUGUCGGGCUU
rnacentral:rRNA from 1 species